rnacentral:rRNA from 1 species
CCUACGGGUGGCAGCAGUGGGGAAUAUUGCGCAAUGGGCGAAAGCCUGACGCAGCGAUGCCGCGUGAGGGAUGAAGGUCUUCGGAUCGUAAACCUCUGUCAGCAGGGAAGAACGGUCACGGUGCUAAGCAGCAGUGAAUUGACGGUACCUGCAAAGGAAGCACCGGCUAACUCCGAGCCAGCAGCCGCGGUAAUACGGAGGGUGCGAGCGUUAAUCGGAAUUACUGGGCGGAAAGCGCUCGUAGGCGGUAUGUCAAGGCAAGGGUGAAAUCCCCGCGCUCAACGUGGGAACUGCCUUUGACACUGGCAACCUGGAGUGUGUGAGAGGCUAGUGGAAUUCCAGGUGUAGGCGU